GAUGAACGCUGGCGGCGUGCCUAAUACAUGCAAGUCGAGCGAACGGACGAGAAGCUUGCUUUUCUGAUGUUAGCGGCGGACGGGUGAGUAACACGUGGAUAACCUACCUAUAAUACUGGGAUAAUUUCGGGAAACCGGAGCUAAUACCGGAUAAUCUUUUGAACCGCAUGGGUCAAAAGUGAGAGACGGUCUUGCUGUCACGUAUAGAUGGAUCCGCGCUGCAUUAGCUAGUUGGGAAGGUAACGGCUUACCAAGGCAACGAUGCAUAGCCGACCUGAGAGGGGGAUCGGCCACACUGGAGCUGAGACACGGUCAAGGGUACUACGGGAGGCAGCAGUAGGGAAUCUUCCGCAAUGGGCGAAAGCCUGACGGAGCAACGCCGCGUGAGUGAUGAAGGUCUUCGGAUCGUAAAACUCUGUUAUUAGGGAAGAACAUAUGUGUAAGUAGCUGUGCACAUCUUGACGGUACCUAAUCAGAAAGCCACGGCUAACUACGUG
rnacentral:rRNA from 1 species